UACAGGAGACGGGAAGAAACAAGCCGAUUAUGUUCGCGUUAAUUAAGUGGUUGGAAGAUGUAAAAUUCUCAAUUCUGCCAACUGAACAUAUACGAGAUUUUAAUGAGGAUGAAUAAUUAGCCGGCAUGGAGGAAACGGACCUUUAUUUCGUGGAGUGGCGACAAGAAGCCAAGGCGGGUGGCCAGUCUAAGAAGCCUCCAUCAUCAAGCUAGCAGAAAUCCUACCUCUCCUUCUGGCUACAGAGUACUUACCAAGCCCAUGAAAUCGAAUGCAGAUCUUCCUAAUGUGAGAUUUACAUAAAUAUGUCAAAGUCUCAACCUCAUGCUGCCCUCCCCCAUCCUCCUAAACCUGUGGAUACAAAUGCAGAUUUCCUUAAUGUUCAAUGGUGCGUGUUCUUCUAAUGGCCGCCUUCCCACUGGAGGUUUUGAUCCACAGCAAUUUAAAAGGUAAUCAGCUUUGAAAGUCAGUUCAAAUGGUUAGCUAAUAGUACUUUAAAAAGCCUACAACUCUGUCACCAGUUUCUUUACCAAAAAUUACCCAUAAAAGUAUCGCUCAAUAGCAUAUAUUGUAGUUCAAAUGUUUAGUUGUACAAAUAUCAAAUUUUUGGAAAUCUAAAACUAGUCAAACACUCAAAUGUUCAUGCUUUUUAUAGGAGGACAGAGCAAAACGGACAUCGGCGCAGAGUGAAGAACUGCCCUUGAUAAGGACACUAUGACAGCCAUA